UACGUAGGGUGCAAGCGUUAAUCGGAAUUACUGGGCGUAAAGCGUGCGCAGGCGGUGAUGUAAGACAGUUGUGAAAUCCCCGGGCUCAACCUGGGAACUGCAUCUGUGACUGCAUCGCUGGAGUGCGGCAGAGGGGGAUGGAAUUCCGCGUGUAGCAGUGAAAUGCGUAGAUAUGCGGAGGAACACCGAUGGCGAAGGCAAUCCCCUGGGCCGAAAUUGACGCUGAGGAGCGAAAGCGUGGGGAGCAAACAGG
rnacentral:rRNA from 1 species